AAAAAGGCUAUGAAGAGAAGAGUAAUCCCUUUUGAUGUCCACAGAGAGCUUCCGUAGAGUAUUCACGUAAUAUUCGCUGCUGAAAGGAAGUGACACAGACCGGAUGAACCAGGCCUCGGAGCCGCAUACGGAUCCUUUUUUAGGUGAUGCUAUGACGGGAGUUCCCGUUACAGAACAAGAGUAUUAAGUCAUUUAGUUGAUGCGUACUUAAUAAGCUUAAGCCGGUGACGGUUUAAGGAACAAGGGUGGCAACACGAUCAUUCGUCCCUGUA
rnacentral:ncRNA from 1 species